GAUAUGUACAGCCGGACAUCGUACAUCUUCUCAUUGGUGACGCUCGCGGUCGUCAUGGUGCUGCUGCUGCGGUUCGUCCGUUCUCCGUUCGGCCUGCUGUGCCGCGNAGGACGACUCCCUGCGCGCGCUGAUGAUCGGAGCCUCGGCCUAUCCGCGGCUCGUGAUGAUGUAUGGCGUCUCGGGAAUCGUUGCGGGUCUUGGCGGCGCGCUGAUGGCGAUCAACACCGGCGUGGUCGGGCUCGACAGCGUG
rnacentral:misc_RNA from 1 species